CUACCUACGGGGGGCAGCAGUGAGGAAUAUUGGUCAAUGGGCGAGAGCCUGAACCAGCCAAGUCGCGUGAAGGAUGAAGGAUCUAUGGUUUGUAAACUUCUUUUAUAUGGGAAUAAAGUGAGGAACGUGUUCCUUUUUGUAUGUACCAUAUGAAAAAGCAUCGGCUAACUCCGUGCCAGCAGCCGCGGUAAUACGGAGGAUGCGAGCGUUAUCCGGAUUUAUUGGGUUUAAAGGGUGCGUAGGCGGACAGUCAAGUCAGCGGUAAAAAUGCGGUGCUCAACGCCGUACAGCCGUUGAAACUGGCA
rnacentral:rRNA from 1 species